rnacentral:rRNA from 1 species
CGGACCCGCACAAGCGGUGGAUCAUGUUGUUUAAUUCGAUGAUACGCGAAGAACCUUACCAGGUCUUGACAUCCCCCGCGAUGCUUUAGAGAUAAAGCGGAGGUAUUCGGGGAGACAGGUGGUGCAUGGUUGUCGUCAGCUCGUGUCGUGAGAUGUUGGGUUAAGUCCCGCAACGAGCGCAACCCCUAUUGCUAGUUACCAUCAUUAAGUUGGGGACUCUAGCGAGACUGCCAGUGAUAAACUGGAGGAAGGUGGGGAUGACGUCAAAUCAUCAUGCCCCUUAUGACCUGGGCUACAAACGUGAUACAAUGGCUGGAACAAAGGGAUGCGAAGCAGUGAUGUGGAGCGAAACCCAUAAAACAGUCUCAGUUCGGAUUGAAGUCUGCAACUCGACUUCAUGAAGUCGGAAUCGCUAGUAAUCGCGGAUCAGAACGCCGCGGUGAAUACGUUCUCGGGGUUU